rnacentral:rRNA from 1 species
AUCCUGGCUCAGAACGAACGCUGGCGGCAUGCUUCAUACAUGCAAGUCGAACGGUUGUAGCAAUACAAUAGUGGCGAACGGGUGAGUAACACGUGGAUAAUCUGCCCUUUGCGGGGGAUAUCGGCUGGAAACGGCCGGCAAUACCGCAUGUGGUUCGUGGGUCUUCGGCCCUGCGAAAGAAAGGCGCUUCACGGCGUCACCAGAGGAUGAGUCCGCGGCCCAUUAGCUAGUUGGUGAGAUAACAGCCCACCAAGGCUUUGAUGGGUAGCCGAGCUGAGAGGUUGAUCGGCCACACUGGAACUGAGACACGGUCCAGACACCUACGGGUGGCAGCAGUAGGGAAUAUUGGACAAUGGGCGCAAGCCUGAUCCAGCAAUGCCGCGUGAGUGACGAAGGAUUUCGGUCUGUAAAGCUUCUUUUCUGGGGGAAGAAAUGAUGGAAGAGGAAAUGCUUCCAUUUUGACGGUACCUCAGGAAUAAGGGACGGCUAACUCCGUG